GAAAUACACGGAAGUUCAGAAAUUUUCCAAUCGAAAAAUCAGGCUUCUGCAUAAUGCAACUCAUUACAUAGGAAAUAACGCAGUUCAGGCCAUAGAAUAUUAUGAAG